rnacentral:misc_RNA from 1 species
GUCAGCCCUGGACAGCUGUCCAGGGCUGAC